rnacentral:rRNA from 1 species
AGGGUUUGAUCAUGGCUCAGGAUGAACGCUAGCGGCAGGCCUAAUACAUGCAAGCCGAACGGUAAGUUUUGUAGCAAUACGGAACCUAGAGUGGCGUAAGGGUGCGUAACACGUAUGCAAUCUACCCGCAACAGGAGGAUAGCUCCCCGAAAGGGGAAUUAACCCUCCAUGAGAUCACACAAUGGCAUCAUUGAGUGAUUAAAUCUGAGGAGGUUGUGGAUGAGCAUGCGUCUGAUUAGCUAGUUGGUAGUGUAACGGACUACCAAGGCGAUGAUCAGUAGGGGAACUGAGAGGUUGAUCCCCCACACUGGCACUGAGAUACGGGCCAGACUCCUACGGGAGGCAGCAGUAGGGAAUAUUGGUCAAUGGGUGCGAGCCUGAACCAGCCAUGCCGCGUGCAGGAAGAAGGCCUUCUGGGUUGUAAACUGCUUUUGCCGGGGGAUAAAAUGUCUGUGCGCAGAUAAUUGAAGGUACCUGAUGAAUAAGCCACGGCUAACUACGUGCCAGCAGCCGCGGUAAUACGUAGGUGGCAAGCGUUGUCCGGAUUUAUUGGGUUUAAAGGGUGCGUAGGCGGUUGAUUAAGUCAGUUGUGAAAUACGGUAGCUUAACUAUCGAGGUGCAAUUGAUACUGGUUGACUUGAGUACAGACGAGGUAGGCGGAAUUGACGGUGUAGCGGUGAAAUGCAUAGAUAUCGUCAAGAACACCGAUAGCGAAGGCAGCUUACUAGACUGUAACUGACGCUGAGGCACGAAAGUGUGGGGAUCAAACAGGAUUAGAUACCCUAGUAGUCC